UGAGAUUGUGUCAGUGGGGCAAGAGUGAAGCUGCGUUAGCAGCCAGAGUACUCCGGAGAGGUCUGUUGGCUGAAACUUGUCCACUGCCUGUGUAAAAGUCAUGGUGAAGAAGUGGCCUUGCAUCUUUGCUACCGUGGAGCAAAUGCUCUAUGGACUUUGCCUUGGACCAGCAGCGAAAGAUCUCAGACGCAUACUGGAAGAAAAGCUGUGACUCAUGCUCUUGAGGGCUCCACUCAGGCAUGGUGCCAUACUAUACUGCUUUUGAGCAUGCCACAGUUGUGCUCUGAGUUCAGGAACUAGCUCAAGGGAUAUGAGUUUGUGUGCCUUGGCCCACAGAACAAAUGAAAAUAGACCCAUCUUCUCUACAAUGAUCUAAAGUGGGGAACAGGCCUGAGGAAUCUGAAGGGUUUUCAAACAGAUAAAUCACUACACGUUUAUAAAAAAAUAAAAU